rnacentral:rRNA from 1 species
AUUGAACGCUGGCGGCAGGCCUAUCACAUGCAUGUCGAGCGGUAACACAGGGAGCUUGCUCCCGGGUGACGAGCGGCGGACGGGUGAGUAAUGUCUGGGAAACUGCCUGAUGGAGGGGGAUAACUACUGGAAACGGUAGCUAAUACCGCAUAAUGUCGCAAGACCAAAGAGGGGGACCUUCGGGCCUCUUGCCAUCAGAUGUGCCCAGAUGGGAUUAGCUAGUAGGUGGGGUAACGGCUCACCUAGGCGACGAUCCCUAGCUGGUCUGAGAGGAUGACCAGCCACACUGGAACUGAGACACGGUCCAGACUCCUACGGGAGGCAGCAGUGGGGAAUAUUGCACAAUGGGCGCAAGCCCGAUGCAGCCAUGCCGCGUGUAUGAAGAAGGCCUUCAGGUUGUAAAGUACUUUCAGCGGGGAGGAAGGUGUUGAGGUUAAUAACCUCAGCAAUUGACGUUACCCGCAGAAGAAGCACCGGCUAACUCCGUGCCAGCAGCCGCCGUAA